AGUAAGACAUGGGUGACCUACCCCCAAGUGAGGGAUACCGGCGAGAAAUCGCCGACAAACCCGUAUAGGUUCUGGUUGGUGGAGCGACCAGAGCAAAGGUUUCUUCGGAAGAGGGAGCUGCUUGGGGAUGGGCCUGUGGCCGAUUAGCUAGUUGGUGGGGUAAGAGCCUACCAAGGCCACGAUCGGUAACUGGUCUGAGAGGACGAUCAGCCACACUGGGAUUGAGAACGGCCCAG
rnacentral:rRNA from 1 species